rnacentral:misc_RNA from 1 species
UAUUAUAGGCCAGUCUGCAGGCAAG